UUAAGCUGCCCAUGAAGUCAGUGUGUGUGUGUUAGUCACUCAGUCAUGUCUGACUCUUUGCAUCUCUAGGAACUGCAGCCCCGCAGGCCCCUCUGUCCAUGGAAUUCUCCAGUACCCAGGAGGAAAUUUCAGGGUCAUCAUAAAGCAGAUGGUCAGAGGGUAGAGAACUAAGAAAAUGUGCCAGGAGUGGGGAAACAAGGACAGAAUAGAGAAGAGAUGGGGAGUGUUGGGACUCCGAGAGGAACAUUAGUCAGGAAGCCACGUGGGCAGGGCUAGAGGACAGUCUGAAGCUCAGUGAGAGGAAGCCGAGGGGCAGAGGUGAAAAGAGGCAAAUGCAGGCACAGGCGAGAGUAUGAGCCUGUGGUGAAUCAGCCCGUUUGGAUUUCCCCUGGUCAAUGUUGCAUGAGUUUCACUGGUGUUAGGCAAAGUCUAAAAGCGAAAGAAAUGCACUCACUCAACUGUUGUAAGACAUUACAUAAUUAACAGACAUCGUGUUCUUGUAUGUGUUAUGGAAAUAUUCAGGUUGAAACCCUUGAUGAAUGUGAUGUAAAGAAAAGGAAUCUACAAUUUGGUUGUUUAAAUAUCAGUGCAAGAAGGUAUUCAGAAAGUGUGUUUUCAGGACUAUCACAGGGCUCCAUUAAGGAAUUUCCAUUGGUCUGGACAGAUGGCACUUGGCAAAGGUGUGUAUUUAGGACGAAGCGGAAGGCCCAUUGUUAG
rnacentral:lncRNA from 1 species